rnacentral:rRNA from 1 species
UACCAGCACCCCGAGUGGUCGGGACGUUUAUUGGGCCUAAAGCAUCCGUAGCCGGUUCUACAAGUCUUCCGUUAAAUCCACCUGCUUAACAGAUGGGCUGCGGAAGAUACUAUAGAGCUAGGAGGCGGGAGAGGCAAGCGGUACUCGAUGGGUAGGGGUAAAAUCCGUUGAUCCAUUAAAGACCACCAGUGGCGAAGGCGGCUUGCCAGAACGCGCUCGACGGUGAGGGAUGAAAGCUGGGGGAGCAAACAGG